UACAGAGGGUGCGAGCGUUAAUCGGAAUUACUGGGCGUAAAGCGCGCGUAGACGGCUUUGUAAGUCGGAUGUGAAAUCCCCGGGCUCAACCUGGGAACUGCAUUCGAAACUGCACUGCUAGAGUAUGGAAGAGGGAAGUGGAAUUUCCGGUGUAGCGGUGAAAUGCGUAGAUAUCGGGAGGAACACCUGUGGCGAAAGCGGCGCACUGGACCACAACUGAUGCUGAGGCGCGAAAGCGUGGGGAGCGAACAGG
rnacentral:rRNA from 1 species